UACGUAGGCAGCGAGCGUUGUUCGGAGUUACUGGGCGUAAAGCGUGCGUAGGCGGUUGUCUAAGUUUGGUGUGAAAUCUCCCGGCUUAACUGGGAGGGUGCGCCGAAAACUGGGUGACUGGAGUGUCGGAGAGGUAAGCGGAAUUCCUGGUGUAGCGGUGAAAUGCGUAGAGAUCAGGAGGAACACCUGUGGUGUAGACAGCUUACUGGACGAUAACUGACGCUGAGGCACGAAAGCGUGGGUAGCAAACAGG
rnacentral:rRNA from 1 species